UGAGGGAUAUUGGUCAAUGGGCGCAAGCCUGAACCAGCGACGCCGCGUGGGUGAAGAAGGUCUUCGGAUCGUAAAGCCCUUUUCCCACUGAAGAGGAAGGACGGUAGGUGGGGAAGAAGUCUCGGCUAACUACGUGCCAGCAGCCGCGGUAAAACGUAGGAGACAAGCGUUAUCCGGAGUUACUGGGCGUAAAGGGCGUGCAGGUGGCGUCUUAAGUCUGUUGUGAAAGCGCCUGGCUUAACCGGGCGAGGCCAAUGGAGACUGAGAGGCUGGAGGACGGCGGAGGGGUGUGGAAUUCCGGGUGUAGUGGUGAAAUGCGUAGAGAUCCGGAGGAACACCAGAGGCGAAGGCGGCACUCUAAGCCGUACCUGACACUGAGACGCGACAGCACGGGGAGCAAAC
rnacentral:rRNA from 1 species